rnacentral:lncRNA from 1 species
UUUCCCAAUCAACUCUGUACAGAAGGUUAGGAGAUACAAGGUGAAGUGAUACCAAGUACCAAUGGGGUCGUAUGAAAAAUAGAAAAAAAAAGGUUUGUUUAUAGAGCAACUCUACAACUUCAUUACCGUCUCUUUCUCCUUUUCAAUUCAAGAUUGAAAAAGAUUAAAGAGAAUUAGAUUCUUAGGAAAUUAAAGGAGGCCUUUGCUGACGUUUUCUCUUGGAUUUCAGAUCAACAACUAUGAUUGAAAUGUUAUCUUUACUAUUUCUACCAUAUGCAAUUUCAGUCAGGCUGUCGGCAACAACUUGUGCAGGAGAUGUUUCCUCCCCUGACAAGGAUCUGCGG